ensembl:lncRNA
AUCAAUCACAUAUUCACAAAGAAAAGAGUUAUUUUAAAUUCUAAAUGUAUUUCACAUUUUUACUGCGUUUUUGAUCAAAUAAAUGCAGCCUUGGUGAGCAGAGGAGACUUUUGAAUGGUAGCAUCUGAUUCAGAGUUAUAGGAAGAUGUGUGCCAAAAAUAAAUAAACCGCAUCAGCUGCUGCUCCUUCAGUGGGUUUGUUUCCAUCAGUUUGAGAUGCUGAAGGUCCGUCUCAGUGUUUAUACCCGGCAGUUUCUCUGAAACCCCUGUUAGCGGUGCAGUGUUUUGUUACCAGGACAUUAUUACUGUAUUUUCUACAGUGUGUCGUGACGUAGAGGAGACAGUUGGGUGUGCAUAGAUCGUCUUAUCUUAUGUUCUCUGAGGAUGUAGUUUAAGCACUGCUCAUCUUUGGUGAAUGCUUCCCUUUAGAGCAAAUUGUGAAUAUUAGGGCAUGGAAAAUCUGAGGAUAUUGUGUUGUUUUUCUUUUAAAUAUGUUUUUAUUUUACUUCACGUGGUCAUUUCUGUCAUUCAUUCUACAUGCCAUAGUUUUCUGUCUUUGCAAAUGGAAACUUUGAGGAGUUUUUAUUUUUGUUUUUUUUAUUUUUAAAGGACUUGAAGGUUCUUGAACCGAUUCAACAUACAUGUGUACAGUUACAGAUUUCCCUUUCUUUGUUCUUUCGUUCACCAAAGAUACACUGAGGUGUUUGUGUCAUCUGUGACCUCACUGAAAGAUAUGGAGAUCAAAAUCUGAAGAGCAGAUGAUGAUGAUGAUGAUGAUGAAGGCUAUUGGGAUUUCCUCAUAUAGUGUGUUUAAUCGUAGACAGACCCAGUCUGAAACUCUGUGGAUUUACAUAGAAUUCUAAUUCUGCAUAGAAUUCUAAGUUCUAUGCAAAUUUCUGGCACAAUUUAUUGCAAUAUUUUGAGAAUAUAUAACCAGUGGGGUUCAAAACUCAGAGAUCAGUUUGUUUAAAAUUAUUUCAUGUUUAUGCACACACACACACACACACACACACACACACACACACACACACACAC